rnacentral:rRNA from 1 species
UGCAAGUCGAGCGGUAGCACAGAGAGCUUGCUCUCGGGUGACGAGCGGCGGACGGGUGAGUAAUGUCUGGGAAACUGCCUGAUGGAGGGGGAUAACUACUGGAAACGGUAGCUAAUACCGCAUAACGUCGCAAGACCAAAGUGGGGGACCUUCGGGCCUCAUGCCAUCAGAUGUGCCCAGAUGGGAUUAGCUAGUAGGUGGGGUAACGGCUCACCUAGGCGACGAUCCCUAGCUGGUCUGAGAGGAUGACCAGCCACACUGGAACUGAGACACGGUCCAGACUCCUACGGGAGGCAGCAGUGGGGAAUAUUGCACAAUGGGCGCAAGCCUGAUGCAGCCAUGCCGCGUGUAUGAAGAAGGCCUUCGGGUUGUAAAGUACUUUCAGCGGGGAGGAAGGCGAUAAGGUUAAUAACCUUGUCGAUUGACGUUACCCGCAGAAGAAGCACCGGCUAACUCCGUGCCAGCAGCCGCGGUAAUACGGAGGGUGCAAGCGUUAAUCGGAAUUACUGGGCGUAAAGCGCACGCAGGCGGUCUGUCAAGUCGGAUGUGAAAUCCCCGGGCUCAACCUGGGAACUGCAUUCGAAACUGGCAGGCUAGAGUCUUGUAGAGGGGGGGUAGAAUUCCAGGUGUAGCGGUGAAAUGCGUAGAGAUCUGGAGGAAUACCGGUGGCGAAGGCGGCCCCCUGGACAAAGACUGACGCUCAGGUGCGAAAGCGUGGGGAGCAAACAGGAUUAGAUACCCUGGUAGUCCACGCCGUAAACGAUGUCGAUUUGGAGGUUGUGCCCUUGAGGCGUGGCUUCCGGAGCUAACGCGUUAAAUCGACCGCCUGGGGAGUACGGCCGCAAGGUUAAAACUCAAAUGAAUUGACGGGGGCACGCACAAGCGGUGGAGCAUGUGGUUUAAUUCGAUGCAACGCGAAGAACCUUACCUGGUCUUGACAUCCACAGAACUUAGCAGAGAUGCUUUGGUGCCUUCGGGAACUGUGAGACAGGUGCUGCAUGGCUGUCGUCAGCUCGUGUUGUGAAAUGUUGGGUUAAGUCCCGCAACGAGCGCAACCCUUAUCCUUUGUUGCCAGCGGUUCGGCCGGGAACUCAAAGGAGACUGCCAGUGAUAAACUGGAGGAAGGUGGGGAUGACGUCAAGUCAUCAUGGCCCUUACGACCAGGGCUACACACGUGCUACAAUGGCAUAUACAAAGAGAAGCGACCUCGCGAGAGCAAGCGGACCUCAUAAAGUAUGUCGUAGUCCGGAUUGGAGUCUGCAACUCGACUCCAUGAAGUCGGAAUCGCUAGUAAUCGUAGAUCAGAAUGCUACGGUGAAUACGUUCCCGGGCCUUGUACACACCGCCCGUCACACCAUGGGAGUGGGUUGCAAAAGAAGUAGGUAGCUUAACCUUCGGGAGGGC